rnacentral:lncRNA from 1 species
UGGCAUUGUAUUGCACGAAGUUACUGUGGAGACUUGUACGGUUGGGGAUGGAACAAUUGGGGUCAACUGAGCAUAUUCUCAGAAGAGGAAGAUUCUGUUGUUGAUUUUAAAGGCAUUGUUGUGCCCGAGCCAACUCUCAUGAAUUGGCCAACAGAUGAUGUCAACGUGACACAAGUUGCAUGUGGAACCAGGCAUACAAUUGCAUUAUUAGGUCGAGAUAUAUUGGACCUGAUAUUUCAAAGGAGCUUCCAGAAGCCUUGUGAGGGCAAGGUGGUAAAAGUUCAUUCAACCUUAGGAAAUAGACAAAAAUUUAAUGAAAUAAAGGUUCGUUUGGCAGUAAUGAUAGAAGAAAAUUCAUUUCAAAUGAGCUGCACUCGAAAAUCCAAUUAAACUGCAUUUAUAUUGAUUAUUUUUAUGUUUUGUCAGUACGUAACAAGUGUACUCAGCCAUAAAUUUUAUACUAAUAUCUGCAUAUUCAAAGCUUUCUCAAUUUCAAUAUUAGCUGGAAUGCAUGUAUUAUAGAAUUCUCUCAAAAUUUGGUUUUACAUUGAAAAAAAAUGAAAACUAUUUUUGAUCUGUCUUAUACUGACACAUUUUGUUUCAUUUUUGGUGCUUCUGAUUUUCAUCACUUUAGCGUGCCUUGGGCAAAUAGACCUUGUAUAAAUAUUCCUGUUAAUCUAAUUUCCAUCAUCUAGCAAUUCGAGUAUCCAGAAAAUUUAACCUCCAUCACUCUCUUCCUGUCGGUUUAUAAGCUUGGAGUCCAAGCUGUCCAACCCAAGCCAAAUAAGUUUGAAUACUUGUAAAGUGUGACAUAGGAUCUACCAUUUUCCUUCUUGUAUUUACUUUUAAAGCUCCAAUUGCGGAGGGUGGAUCUUCUAUGACAGUUAUAACCCCUCCAUUACCACGAACGUGGCAUCUACGUUCAAACACGCGAAACUGUAUCCAUCCUGUAACAAUACUGCCAUUACUCAAUAGCCUCUACUCACAAGUAUUCACACUUGUACUUCUAUGUGUCGAGG